UAAUACGCGUUUGCGCUGUUGACUCUCGGUUGGAGCUCGUGCGUGCGGUUUGGUUGGUAGUUUCCUGCGUUUUCUGCGUUCUUUAUUUGCCUCGCUGCGACCUCCUGGGUGUAUUCCUGCGUGUUGCUCGCUUUUUGUGGGCUUCUUGUUGCACCGAAGGUCACCCUGAUCGUCUCCGACUCAGCCACAACAAAGAUUCAAAAUGAGUCUGGAGGCACCACAACUAAAAUGUGAAAGGUUCACAUAGGUUGGAGGAGUGCUCAUUGAGGAAGUGAUCCUGGCACAGCUUACCACAGCCUGCCAUGAUGAGCGAGGCAAGUUUGCAAGGACCUUGCGUGUCCGUCACAGAGGAAGACCUUAUGGGAUGGGCCACUCGCUCUUUGGGAACAAGAACAUCAAGGAUCAAAAAUAGGCUCUUGACCCCCCCCCCCCCCCCCAGGGUCAAUGCUGUUAUAGGCAAGUACCGUACAUCCU
rnacentral:lncRNA from 1 species